AGCGAACGCUGGCGGCAGGCCUAACACAUGCAAGUCGAACGAAGUCUUCGGACUUAGUGGCGGACGGGUGAGUAACACGUGGGAACGUACCUUUUGGUUCGGAUCAACUCAGGGAAACUUGAGCUAAUACCGGAUGAGCCCUUAGGGGGAAAGAUUUAUCGCCGAAAGAGCGGCCCGCGUUAGAUUAGCUAGUUGGUGAGGUAAAGGCUCACCAGGGCUACGAUCUAUAGCUGGUCUGAGAGGAUGAUCAGCCACACUGGGACUGAGACACGGCGCAGACUCCUACGGGAGGCAGCAGUGGGGAAUCUUGCGCAAUGGGCGAAAGCCUGACGCAGCCAUGCCGCGUGAAUGAUGAAGGUCUUAGGAUUGUAAAAUUCUUUUACCAGGGACGAUAAUGACGGUACCUGGAGAAAAAGCCCCGGCUAACUUCGUGCCAGCAGCCGCCGUAAAAC
rnacentral:rRNA from 1 species